AUGAACGCUGGCGGCGUGCCUAAUACAUGCAAGUCGAACGGGGAGUAGCAAUACUCUUAGUGGCGAACGGGUGAGUAACGCGUUGGUACCUGCCCCGAAGCGGGGGAUAACGGACCGAAAGGUCCGCUAAUACCCCAUGUGCUCGGUAACGAGUAAAGGUGAAAACCACUUUGGGAGGGGCAUGCGUCCCAUCAGCUAGUUGGUAAGGUAACGGCUUACCAAGGCGAUGACGGGUAGGGGACCUGAGAGGGUGGCCCCCCACAAUGGAACUGAAACACGGUCCAUACACCUACGGGUGGCAGCAGUAGGGAAUAUUGGUAAUGGGCGCAAGCCUGAACCAGCAACGCCGCGUGUGCGAUGACGGCCUUCGGGUUGUAAAGCACUUUUGACUGGGACGAGGAAGGACGGUACCGGUCGAAUCAGCCUCGGCUAACUACGU
rnacentral:rRNA from 1 species